UAGAAGUUAUUCCACUGGAAAAGUCGAGAGUCAUGAAGCAAGCAAUGAGUCCAGUGCCAUCUCCUGCAGUAGUUGGACCUUCAAGCAAUUUCAGCUUGACAUCUGUUUUCUCUAUUCAAAAUCAUUGGUUAUUGAAAACCUCUUGAACUGCAUCGUCAAAGAGGUAGACAUGAAGAGAAAAAAAAUUAUAUGACUAUCUAUGGACUCCAUGAUAGAUACCUAUGGAGGCAGGCCAACUGACACAGAAACUCUGCAACUGACUGGGACACUGAUGGAAUUGUAUCCAAUAUUGAGGGAUAAUACAAACAAUGGAAUCUGGGAGAAAUAUGUAAUUGGGCAAUAGAUUUAAUGGACAUAAUGUUCUCACGUUACUGGUUUAAUCAAAUUAUUACAUGGGCUAAAAUUUCCACAACAUUGUGUAUCCCUGCAGAACAAAGCUACACCAGUAUCCCGCGGCCAUGGAAUGACUUUUCCCGGAGUGAGGCUGAGUGAGACUGGAAGUUAAACCAGUGCUACGUGGUAGUUAAGCGAACCACUGAGUUGACAGAAAACUGAAACCUAUAGAGUGCCGCAUAGAUGUUAAUUUCAAAAUUCCCAGAUUAACAUUAGAUGUAGACAAUUUGCUGGAAAUCAACAGGGUGCUGUUUGAACAGAGUUUGGGUGUUAGUAGUAACACAGUAUUUGGCCCUGUUCCUUUAGGAUCUCUUCUCAGUUAAUACCAGAAAAUAAUUAUAAAGAAAAAUAGAGAAAGUGGGGACAGAUGAUGGUGGAAAAUAGAAAUAUCACUCAAUUAAGACCAGUAAUUCGGCAUCUGUUAGGUAUUUGCUGAGGCUCACCUUGGAGGAAUGAGUCCUGAACUUUCAAGAUAUGUCAGAGAAAAGCAGAGUUCAGGAGCUGCAGAAGAUGUACCCAUUAUUCAUAAAACCAGAAUUUAUUGAUGGCACUGGGGGACUAAGCUCAGGAGCGUAAAGGCCUAGCAGCCAGGACAUUCUGGACAAUGACUCAGAAAAUAGGAGACAAAAUGGCAGAGUGUUGCAAAAUGCUCCCCGGCUGGCUGAACUGAGGUCAUACUGUCAUGGAGGUGUACAUGGAUUCCUGCUGUUCAACAGAUGUUGCAAGACCUUAUCCACGACAACACUAAACAAGGCUGCAAGGUCAUACAAGUCAUUCAUAGAAGCUAUGCCUGAGGAAAAUAUAUUGUAUAACCAGAAAUUUUUGCUAUCUUCCCAGUAAGUGUCACAGAAAUAAACAUUUUUUGACAGGACAUUAGUGGUUCAAUAUUGAAAUGAAAAUGAAAAGAAAAUAUUUAAAAACUUGAGGAAAUCUUUUUAUGCUACUACAUGCAGAGAAUAGAAAAUAAAAAGACUUUUUACCUCACCUGUCACAAAGUGACAGGGCAAGCUUUUGAGAUCACCUAUCGUCUGUCCAUAUAGCUCUGUUCAGUUUUAUUUCCGAGAGUAAACAUAUAGCUCUGUUCAGUUUAAUUUUUGAGUGGGUAAAUAUAGCUCUGUUCAGUUUCAUUUCCGAGAGUGUAAAUAUAGCUCUGUUCAGUUUUAUUUCCGAGUGUGUAAAUGUAGCUCUGUUCAGGUUUAUUUCUGAGUGUGUAAAUAUAGCUCUGUUCAGUUUUAUCUCUGAGAGUAUACAUAUAGCUCUGUUCAGCUUUGUUUCUGAGUGUGUAAAUGUACUAGCCCUGUUCAGUUUCAUUUCCGAGAGUGUAAAUAUAGCUCUGUUCAGUUUUUUUUCCGAGUGUGUAAAUGUAGCUCUGUUCAGUUUUGUUUCUAAGUGUGUAAAUGUAGCUCUGUUCAAUUUUAUUUUCGAGAGUGUAAAUAUAGCUCUGUUCAGUUUUAUUUCUGAGAGUGUACAGUCAAGACUGCCUUAGUGACUCCCUGAAUUUAAAGAUCCACCACGAUCUAGUGACCUACCUUUUUCACUCAAAGAAAGUUCAUGUAAAUCAUUCUUGAAAUACAGGUAAUAUACAGUUAAAAUACAAGUUUUCAGGUGGACAAUUUAGGCCAUUCAUGAAUAAAUGUUUUGACAACUUCAUCUGCAAACUUUUUCAGUCAAUCCUUUUCAGCAUUGUUUCAAAAACAUAGAUGAAUAACUAUAUUACACUGUAGAAAACAAAAUGCGAUUGAAAUUUCACUAGAUACACUAAUUUCUGUACAUAUUGCUACAGUUAUUCAAUAAAAUGUUGACAUUACACAUGUUGUCUUGGCCUAAUAUAUGUCACUGCCAAUUUGUAGUUAGAUACUAGUUAUUUCUCCUUUUCUUCAUGCAAAGCAUGUAUAAUUAACAUCAUGGAAACACAAAAGAAAACAGUUAUUUUGUGGUGCCUCUUUAUUGACUCCCUGUCUUAUGUGACCAUGAUCAAGUCCGCUCGAUGUAAAAUGCUAUAAAAUGAGUCCCUCUCUAACGUGAAAAGCGACCUUCAUUUUUCGGUCAAAUUUGCUUCAAUUAGUCUUUUUAAGUGACUUUACCUGUACCGGUUUGCCGAUUUUCAGGCCGAAUUCAACCGCACUGGGUUGGUUUAAAUAAAAUUCAGAAAUUAAAAAGUCCAUCACAAAAUAGUUUUAAAAGUUUGAUUUCGACCUGGCAAUUCAGUUUGUCUAAUGAGCAGCUAAUUAUGUCAUUGAUAGUGUCAAACGAUCUCAUAAUCACCUAUUGUGUACAAAGACAAUAGACCAAGUUGUAUUCAAUUAGUGAUAAGUUUACACAUCAGUAUGUUUGGGUACCCCAAGGGCCCAGAAUGGGUGAUCUUUCAGGCCUGUAUUUGUAAAUGGGUGGGGUAUUGGAGGACCGUUUGUGACUGUAUCAAGUGACUCCCUGCCAUAUGCGACUUUAUUAGUCCCCUACUGGUUCAAAACCCAGUUUCAGGGACUAUAGGAAUGCGCUUUACCAUCCGUCUCUCAUUCCGUCCUAAAUCCGUCCAUCCGCAAUUGUGUCCGGUCCAUAAUUUUGUCAUUCAUGAAGGGAUUUUAAUAUUACUUGGCACAAAUGUUUCCCAUGAUGAGGUGACAUGUCAUGCGCAAAACCCGGACCCCUAGCUCAAAGGUCAAGGUCACAAUUGGAGGUCAAACGUCGAAAGGGCUUUUUCCUGUCCGGUCCAUAACUCUCCCAUCUAUGAAGGGAUUUAAAUAUCGGCACAAAUGUACUUCAUAAUAAGACGAUGUGUCAUGCACAACUUUCAGAACCCUAGCUCAAAGGUCAAGGUCACACUUAGCAGUAAAAUGUUAACAUGGCAUGAACAGGGUCUGUUUUGUGUCCGGUCCAUAACUCUGUCAUUCAUUAAGGGAUUUUAAUGUCACUUGGCACAUAUGUUCCCCGGACCCCUUGCUCAAGGUCAAGGUCACAAUUGGGGGUCAAAUAUCAAUGGAUUUUUUCCUGUCUGGUCCAUAACUCUGCCAUCCAUGAAGGGAUUUUGAUAUUAUUUGGCACAAAUGUUUCCCAUGAUGAGACAUGUCAUGCGCAAAACCCGGACCCCUAGCUCAAAGGUCAAGGUCACAAUUGGAGGUCAAAGGUCAAUUUUUUUUCCCCUGUCCGGUCCAGAACUCUUGUCAUCCAUCAAGGGAUUACAAUAUUACUUGGCAUAAAUGUUUCCAUUGAUGAGACGAUGUGUCAUGCAUAACACCCAGGAUCCUAGCUUAGAGGUCAAGGUCACACUGAGAUCAAAGGUCAAUAGGAUUUUUUUCCUGUCCACUCUAUAACUUUGUCAUGCAAAACAGGAUUUGAACAUCAGUUGGCACAAAUAUUCCCCUGGAUGAGACAUGUCGUGCACAAAACCCGUGCCCUAGGUCUAAGGUCAAGGUGAUACUUGGAGGUAAAAAGUCAAAUUCAAGAAUGACUUUGUCCGGAGCAUUUCUUCUUUAUGCAUUGAGGGAUUUUGAUGUAACUUGGCACAAAUGUUCACAACCAUGAGACGGAUUGUCAUGCGCAAGAACCGGGUCCCUAGGUCUAAGGUCAAGGUCAUAUAUAGAGGUCAAAGGUCAAAUUCAAGAAUGACUGACCGGAGCAUUUCUUCUUCAUGCAUGCAGGGAUUUUGAUGUAAUUUGGCACAAAUGUUCACCACCAUGAGGCACCACCCUUGUUUUUAGAAUUACAUCCCUUUGUUGUUACUAUAAAUAGAUUAUAUUGUAACUUUUUUAUUACUGGCCGUAGGGAAAAAUCAAGACCACUUUCCUGUGGUCCAACAUGCAUGUUACAUCCAAUAUAUAUAUAUUAUAAUUUUUUUUUUUUUUAGGAUUAAUUUCCCAUUGUUGUUCAUAUAAAUAACUUAUAUGAUAACUUUUUUAUAAUCGGCCAAAAAGAAUUCCAUAUGAAAACAACUAGGUUUUUAUAUAAUUAUGCAAAUUUUAAUCCAAGUGUUUUGUUAUAACAUUUGUAUAUGUAGUACAAUAUUGUUUAUACAUCAUUGACAGAUAUCAGAGCUUUGUUUUACUGCAGUAAAGAAAAUUAGGUGCCUUCCAGUAGGGGACUUUGUAUUGCAUGGCAAUACUUCAUUCACUUGUUUCAUCUGCCCCAUUGAAGGUCACAUAUGACGGGCUUGACUGUAUAUAGUUUUUGGAUGUGUACAUGUAUAUGUUCAGUUGCAAGAAAGAAAAUAUUCAGCAUUUACUAUAGUUCAUGUGUGGCCGAGUUGUAACGGUCCAUGACAUUGGAACAGGUACCCUUUCUUUCAGAUGGAUGCAGAACCAUUUGAAGUAUAUAAUUAUGUACAAUUCUUUCAUGUGAGGAAGUCAUUCACCUGGCUUACAAAAGUUGGAUGGUUCUACCCAGGUCUUCUUUAUACACCCGUAAAAAGUUGAAAUGCCACUAUUUUGUUGUUUUGCAGGUUGAAACAUUCAACAAGACAAAUCAGAUGUACUUCAUACUUGUUAUAUAACUUUAUGCUGUUGUGAUGAAAAUGUUGCAUUGUUUUUAUGUGUUAUGUCUAUUAUGAUAGCAGUAAGUAAACUUUUUAAACAUUAA